GCAGCUAACGCACUAAGUUGACCGCCUGGGGAGUACGGCCGCAAGGUUAAAACUCAAAUGAAUUGACGGGGGCCCGCACAAGCGGUGGAGCAUGUGGUUUAAUUCGACGCAACGCGAAGAACCUUACCUGGCCUUGACAUGCAGAGAACUUUCCAGAGAUGGAUUGGUGCCUUCGGGAACUCUGACACAGGUGCUGCAUGGCCGUCGUCAGCUCGUGUCGUGAGAUGUUGGGUUAAGUCCCGUAACGAGCGCAACCCCUAUCCCUAGUUGCUAGCAGUUCGGCUGAGAACUCUAGGGAGACUGCCGGUGACAAACCGGAGGAAGGUGGGGAUGACGUCAGGUCAUCAUGGCCCUUACGGCCAGGGCUACACACGUGCUACAAUGGUGCGUACAGAGGGCUGCAAACCCGCGAGGGGGAGCUAAUCUCACAAAACGCAUCGUAGUCCGGAUCGGAGUCUGCAACUCGACUCCGUGAAGUCGGAAUCGCUAGUAAUCGCGAAUCAGAAUGUCGCGGUGAAUACGUUCCCGGGCCUUGUACACACCGCCCGUCACACCAUGGGAGUGGAUUGCACCAGAAGUGGUUAGUCUAACCUUCGGGAGGACGAU
rnacentral:rRNA from 1 species